AAGCUCUUCCUGCUCCAUGACACUAAAUAGCCGCAGAAUUUUUACUGUGCUAAGGUAGCAUAAUAACUUGUCCUCUAAUUAAGGAAUAGAAUGAAUGGAAAAACGUAUUUUUUUCUGUUUAAAAAUAACACAAUAAAAUUACCUUAAAAGUAAAAAUACUUUUACAACAAAAGAAAGACGACAAGACCCUACUAAACUUUACUAUAGUUCAGCUGGGGCGGCUAUAACAAAAAUAUCUUGUUAAAAAAUUAGCAACCUAAAUAUAUUAUAACAAGUUACUAUAGGGAUAACAGCAUAAUUGAUCUCAAUAGCUCGUAUUAAAAGAUUAGAUUGUGACCUCGAUGUUGAAUUAAAUGUCUAUUAUAAGUAAAAAAAUAAUAAGAAAGUC
rnacentral:rRNA from 1 species